UAGAUACCCUGGUAGUCCACGCCGUAAACGUUGGGCACUAGGUGUGGGGUCGCUUGGUUUUACUGGGUGGUUCCGCGCCGCAGCUAACGCAUUAAGUGCCCCGCCUGGGGAGUACGGCCGCAAGGCUAAAACUCAAAGGAAUUGACGGGGGCCCGCACAAGCGGCGGAGCAUGCGGAUUAAUUCGAUGCAACGCGAAGAACCUUACCAGGGCUUGACAUGGGGGCGGCGGCGUCGGAGACGGCGUCUCCU
rnacentral:rRNA from 1 species